CCGCCCAGUGUAGAUUUGCGUCACGUAUGCUGUAUUUAUUUGGUUCAGUCUAGUUUGAUUACAUUCAUUUUAAGGUAUAAAUAAGCUAGUUUUGAGCCGAACUAAACAUUCACACGGUGGUACUACAGCACCAGCACGCAGCAGUUCGAUCCUCACCAGUCACCAUUAUUUGACUUUGCAAUCAAACUUCUUGUGGUCAAAAUGAAGCUCCUUUUUGCGUUGCUUGUCUAUGCCAUCACCAUAACCGACAUCUUUGGUCAAAACAAUAAAUAAUGAAUUCAACUGGAGGGACUACAAGAAAAACUUCGGGAAAAAUUACACGGGAAGUGAUGAUUCGAACCGGAAAGGAAAUUUCGUCAAAUAAGAUACGUUCGUAAGUGGUAAGGUAAGAAGUUCGACAACGGCAAGAGUAACUACACUUUUACCGUAGUACACAACGAUUUAUCCGACAAGAAUGAUACGGAAUUGUCUCAAUUGCUUGGUAUGAUGGUAUCAAAUCAAUUCCAGGUAGUGCUCGUUUUCUUGGAGCCAGCGCUGAUUUCCUUGCAGCUGCUGAUCGCGCUCUUCCCACAAGUUUGGAUUAUCGUAACGACAGCACCUGCUUGGCGGCAAUUAAAAACCAAGGACAGUGCGGGAGCUGUUGGGCAUUUGCUGCUAUUGUUCCGCUCAAGUUUGCUGCGUGUAAGAAAAACAAAUCAUCUGCUGUUGUCCCGUUGAGCGAGCAACAGUUAGUUGAUUGUGAUACAGUGGACGGUGGUUGCAACGGCGGUUUUUUACUGCACAAAUGCUUGGGACUACCAAAAGAAGGCUAACGGUUCUGCAAAAAGCUCGCUCUACGGCUAUACGCUAUACCGCUGUUGU